CAUGGCUCAGGACGAACGCUGGCGGCGUGCUUAACACAUGCAAGUCGAACGGAAAGGCCCAGCUUGCUGGGUACUCGAGUGGCGAACGGGUGAGUAACACGUGGGUGAUCUGCCCUGGACUCUGGGAUAAGCCUGGGAAACUGGGUCUAAUACCGGAUAUGACCUUACAUCGCAUGGUGUUUGGUGGAAAGCUUUUGCGGUUCAGGAUGGGCCCGCGGCCUAUCAGCUUGUUGGUGGGGUAAUGGCCUACCAAGGCGACGACGGGUAGCCGACCUGAGAGGGUGAUCGGCCACACUGGGACUGAGACACGGCCCAGACUCCUACGGGAGGCAGCAGUGGGGAAUAUUGCACAAUGGGCGCAAGCCUGAUGCAGCGACGCCGCGUGAGGGAUGACGGCCUUCGGGUUGUAAACCUCUUUC
rnacentral:rRNA from 1 species